GGGUACCGGUACAGAGUCAAUGUGGAGGCUAUAUACAGGGGGUACCGGUACAGAGUCAAUGUGGAGGCUAUAUACAGGGGGUACCGGUACAGAGUCAAUGUGGAGGCUAUAUACAGGGGUACCGGUACAGAGUCAAUGUGGAGGCUAUAUAGAGGGGGUACCGGUACAGAGUCAAUGUGGAGGCUAUAUACAGGGGGUACCGGUACAGAGUCAAUGUGGAGGCUAUAUACUGGGGGUACCGGUACAGAGUCAAUGUGGAGGCUAUAUACAGGGGGUACUGGUACAGAGUCAAUGUGGAGGCUAUAUACAGGGGGUACCAGUACAGAGUCAAUGUGGAGGCUAUAUACAGGGGUACUGGUACAGAGUCAAUGUGGAGGCUAUAUACAG
ensembl:lncRNA